rfam:Schistosoma rodhaini strain Burundi genome assembly, scaffold: SROB_scaffold0000059
AUCCAACUGACGAGUCCCAAAUUGGACGAAACAUGCGUCCUGGAA